CCUACGGGAGGCAGCAGUGAGGAAUAUUGGGCAAUGGAGGCAACUCUGACCCAGCCAUGCCGCGUGCAGGAAGAAUGCCCUAUGGGUUGUAAACUGCUUUUAUUUAGGAAUAAACCCUUCUACGUGUAGAAGGCUGAAUGUACUAAACGAAUAAGCACCGGCUAACUCCGUGCCAGCAGCCGCGGUAAUACGGAGGGUGCAAGCGUUAUCCGGAAUCAUUGGGUUUAAAGGGUCCGCAGGCGGACGUAUAAGUCAGUGGUGAAAUCCUGCAGCUUAACUGCAGAACUGCCAUUGAUACUGUACGUCUUGAAUUCGGUCGAAGUGGGCGGAAUGUGUAGUGUAGCGGUGAAAUGCAUAGAUAUUACACAGAACACCGAUAGCGAAGGCAGCUCACUAGGCCUGGAUUGACGCUCAGGGACGAAAGCGUGGGGAUCAAACAGGAUUAGAUACCCUGGUAGUCCACGCUGUAAACGAUGAUUACUCGUUUUCGGCGAUAUACAGUCGGAGACUAAGCGAAAGUGAUAAGUAAUCCACCUGGGGAGUACGAUCGCAAGGUUGAAACUCAAAGGAAUUGACGGAAUCUCUAGAGGUCCCCGGUACCGAGNNCGNAUNNCCCNC
rnacentral:rRNA from 1 species